GAUGAACGCUGGCGGCGUGCUUAACACAUGCAAGUCGAACGGAAAGGCUCCUGCUUGCAGGGGUACUCGAGUGGCGAACGGGUGAGUAACACGUGGGUGAUCUGCCCUGCACUUCGGGAUAAGCCUGGGAAACUGUGUCUAAUACCGGAUAGGACGAUGUUUUGGAUGCCAUUUUGGAAAGUUUUUUCGGUGUGGGAUGAGCUCGCGGCCUAUCAGCUUGUUGGUGGGGUAAUGGCCUACCAAGGCGUCGACGGGUAGCCGGCCUGAGAGGGUGUACGGCCACAGUGGGACAGAGAAACGGCCAGGACUCAUACGGGAGGCAGCAGUGGGGAAUAUUGCAAAAUGGGCGGAAGCCUGAUGCAGCGACGCCGCGUGGGGGAUGACGGCCUUAGGGUUGUAAACUCCUUUCGCGAGGGAAGAAGAGCAAGUGACGGUACCUGGAGAAGAAGCACCGGCUAACUACGUG
rnacentral:rRNA from 1 species